GAGAGUUAAACAGUACGUGAAAUUGUUGAAAGGGAAACGAUUGAAGCCAGUCGUACCUAUGGGUAAUCAGCCUUUUGGGUGUGAUUUUGUGGAGCGUGAGGAGUUAAACGCCUUCAUGCCUGCAUAUUCGUGCACUUUGGGUGUACUUGCCCGUGUGUUAGUUAACAUCAAUUUUGGUGGUCAUAAAAUGGCUGGAGGAAUGUAGCUUCGAUCUUGUAUUGAAGUGUUAUAGCCUUCGGUAGAUGUGACGAUCGGGAUUGAGGAUUGCAACGGAUACCCUUCGGGGCUACCUGUCUGAUCUCUGAUUGUUGCUCUGGUGCCGAAAGCUUGCUUACGGUUAUCAAAGUCGAUGGUCAAUAGGUUAGAAUGGGUUAAAUUCGUUAAGGAUGUUGACGUAAUGGCUUUAAACGA
rnacentral:rRNA from 1 species